rnacentral:rRNA from 1 species
UUAAGCAGGAUGUGAANUCCCCGGGCUCAACCUGGGAACUGCGUUNUGAACUGGGUAGCUAGAGUAUNUCAGAGGGGGGUAGAAUUCCACGUGUAGCAGUGAAAUGCGUAGAGAUGUGGAGGAAUACCGAUGGCGAAGGCAGCCCCCUGGGAUAAUACUGACGUUCAUGCUCGAAAGCGUGGGUAGCAAACAGGAUUAGAUACCCUGGUAGUCCACGCCCUAAACGAUGUCGAUUAGCUGUUGGGCAACUUGAUUGCUUAGUAGCGUAGCUAACGCGUGAAAUCGACCGCCUGGGGAGUACGGUCGCAAGAUUAAAACUCAAAGGAAUUGACGGGGACCCGCACAAGCGGUGGAUGAUGUGGAUUAAUUCGAUGCAACGCGAAGAACCUUACCUGGUCUUGACAUGUACGGAAGAACUCAGAGACGAGUUUGUGCCUUCGGGAGCCGUAACACAGGUGCUGCAUGGCUGUCGUCAGCUCGUGUCGUGAGAUGUUGGGUUAAGUCCCGCAACGAGCGCAACCCUUGUCAUUAGUUGCCAUCAUUUAGUUGGGCACUCUAAUGAGACUGCCGGUGACAAACCGGAGGAAGGUGGGGAUGACGUCAAGUCCUCAUGGCCCUUAUGACCAGGGCUUCACGCGUCAUACAAUGGUCGGUACAGAGGGUAGCCAAGCCGCGAGGUGGAGCCAAUCCCAGAAAACCGAUCGUAGUCCGGAUUGCACUCUGCAACUCGAGUGCAUGAAGUCGGAAUCGCUAGUAAUCGCAGGUCAGCAUACUGCGGUGAAUACGUUCCCGGGUCUUGUACACACCGCCCGUCACACCAUGGGAGUGGGGGAUACCAGAAGUAGGUAGGGUAACCGCGAG